AGAGUGGACAGAACCCACAUCCAGCCCAGAUCUUCCUGUGUCUGAUCUCUGCACAAACUGCAAGCCAUCGGUCGUCCAAUGCAUUUGGGAAUUAGGCAAAGGGACUGUGGUUUCUGAGCCAUGAUGGGACACAGAGAGAAUCUAAGGGACAGAGGCAAAAAAAAAAAAAAAAAAAAAGACAGGUACAACCACUAGCAACACACGGGAUUACAUCAACCGGUUGGUACCAGGCUUCCUGCGGUCCUGUCUCUUCAGCUCUCUGCUGAAGAGUCGUAUCAGGCAGCAGAGCACUGCAGUUUAGGAAAGACAGGAAUUUGUAUUCAAUAAAAAAACCAACUUAGACUCAGGAUGGCAAGGUUCCGUUGGAGCCUAUGCAAGGUGGACAUGUGAUGAGUCUGUAUUUCUAACAGUUUCUGGAGUCAGGAAACAUGUCACAUCGUGCGCAUGACAUCUUCAUUACAGAAUUACUAUUCCGUUGACUCAUCCUUUCAUUUCAGAUAAUUAAUAUUAACCGACGUCAGAGAUAUAUAUGCUUAAAGAUAGAAAAAACUGAUACUUAACGAGGCAAAAAUAAUCUCAACAUUUUUAAAAAAGACAUCAGCUCUUUGGGAGGCAACAUGUGCAAUUUUGUGACAGCUCAGGAAAUCCGCGGGCUUCCGCCUCGGAUCUGAAGAUUGUUUACAUUCCAGUGGAAUUCCUGGGAAAGUCCAGAGCUCUCUGUGCUUUGAAAACAAUGGCUUAUAGAGAUCAAGUUCAACCUUGCAAGUGGAGCCUCCCAGCAGGGGGGAUGGCUUGAGGGGUCCUCCGGAACAGAGGAGCCAGAACAGUGCUGCUCAGGGGCCAGCUGGCUCAGGUUGUCGUCUGUGGAUGCAGGGCCUGGAACUGGGGGCCACCCUGUGGACACACUGUGGCCAGCAGGAAAGAGAGGUGGGAAAAAAAACCCAAGAGCCUGAGGACCUGGUCGAGCUACUGAAAAACUAGAGUCAGAGGCCCCGUGACACCACCUGUUGAUAUGUGAGCUAAUAAAAUUACUGAUUUAACCA
rnacentral:lncRNA from 1 species